AUAAUACUUUGUCAGAGACAGGUUUGAUUGAAGACAAAAUGCAAAAAGUUUGGGGAAGAAUCCUUUGUUUAUUUUAAAAUUAUUACUGGGGGCACCUGGGUGGCUCAGUCGGUUUAGCGUCUGACUUCGCUCAGGUCAUGAUCUCGCGGUCCGUGAGUUCGAGCCCCACUUCGGGCUCUGUGCUGACGGCUCGGAGCCUGGAGCCUGCUUGGGAUUCUGUGUUUCCCUCUCUCCCUGCCCCUCCCCUGCUCACUCUCUGUCUCUCUCUGUCUCUCAAACAUAAAUAAACAUUAAAAAAAAAUUUCUUUUUAAUUAUUAAAAUCCACGAACCUUUUCUUGUUUGUUAUGGAAGCUAGAGUUUGAAUCUAAGGAUAAAUCAUAUAUAAAGAGAAUAAUUGGGCAAGGCUUGCAUGAACAAGGUAAACUGUUGCUAUCUUUAAUUUUAGUUAAAUGCCUGUGAGGUAACAGGGAGGGCCUGGCAGGCCUAAGCAUAAUGUGAGCUAACGGUGAGGCUUCUCCACCUACUGCCCUUUUAGAAUCUCUACACCUUCCCUUCCCCCUUUCCAUUGCUUGACACAGACCCCAGACCUAACAAAAUCCAUUUCCCAUCACCACUUCAUUGUAGGAAACAAAUCGCAUCCAUUAAUUAAUCUUAAGGUAUCAAUAAUUGAUCCUAGUGUGAUGUAUUACCCUUCCCAAAUGUAUUUGCAUAAAAAAUGUAUUACACAACUGAUAACAUUUUCAUUGCUGAGAAAUGGAAAAUUCAGAUAAGCAAAAAGAAAACAAACAUGCCCAGUAUCAUCAGGAAGAACCAUUAUUACAAAUUUAGUUUCUGUUUCUCAAGCUCUUGUCUGUGCGUGUAUUAACAUUUUGGGGAGACUUCAACCUUUGAAGUAGGGCGUUCACACCCCUUCCUUCCUCUCUCUCCCUUGCCCUCAGCUGAUCAUCAAGAAGCAGCGGUCCUACAGAACCAGCUGUGGAUAGUAUUACAGAACAUGGCCCCAUUCUUGAGAAAUCCAUGCACUUACAGAGGUUGAUAGGUAGCAGUUAUCAUUUAUUUUUGGAAACUAGUUUCCGUUGAUGCUUAUGUUGACACAGAUCAAGUUGACAUCUUAAAAUAUUUGAUUGGCCACAUCCCAGCUCUUCAAGGGAGGGAUCAACUGUGCUGAGCCUGCUGCAGUAUUACGUCCUACGUGUUUAAUCCCUGCCCUUCCAGAAGCCUUCCUCAGUCCCUUUAGAGUCAGAGGCAAAGACUGAAUUCUUGCAGCCCUUGUCUGUGUCCCUUAAAUGGCCCUGGGCGCCCCUGUAUUGUUAUUUUUGACAUCCACCUUCACAACUGCACAGGGGCCUCGAGGCCACACUUAGAAUCCUAGAUUCUUAUACUGCUUAGGGGAGCCUCAGAGAGGUCCACCCAAGGAGGCUCAAGAGGGCUUAGAUAACUGCCCAAGGCCACACAGCUUUUAAGUGAGGUAGGACCCAGUGUUCUUUCUAUUCCAGCAGUGUUAGACAUAUUCCCAGAGCUUAUAAGUUAUGAAGUUAUUCAACUUUGCUUAUUUUUUUAUGAUCUAAAAAAUUUGGCCUAAAAUGCCUUUCUGAUCAUCUGAGUCUAUUCAUUAAACUUGAGUCGUCUCUCAAUUUCAUUAUUUGGCUUUGUGUUUUGUAUUGUCCUGUUAGUACUUCUCACUUGUUGGACCAAGAGGUCAGGUGACAGCAAUUAACUUAUAUAAUGCAGUGUGUUUUUUAGGGAGAGGGGUGACAAAGUAGAAGACACUCGGGGGUCCCCACUUUUCCAAAUUUGAGCAACACCACAGAAUAGCACACUACUUGUUCCCUGCAAAUGUGUUUGUUGAUGAUGCAUUUCAGUAAAAAGUAAAUUAAA